GUGCCAGCCGCCGCGGUAACACCGGCGGCUCGAGUGGUAACCGUUAUUAUUGGGUCUAAAGGGUCUGUAGCCGGCCGGAUAAGUCUCUUGGGAAAUCUGGCAGCUCAACUGUCAGGCUUUCAGGGGAUACUGUCUGGCUCGAGGCCGGGAGAGGUGAGAGGUACUUCAGGGGUAGGGGUGAAAUCUUGUAAUCCUUGAAGGACCACCAGUGGCGAAGGCGUCUCACCAGAACGGACCUGACGGCAAGGGACGAAAGCUAGGGGCACGAACCGGAUUAGAUACCCGGGUAGUCCUAGCCGUAAACGAUACUCGCUAGGUGUCGGCCACGGUGCGACCGUUGUCGGUGCCGUAGGGAAGCCGUGAAGCGAGCCACCUGGGAAGUACGGCCGCAAGGCUGAAACUCAAAGAAAUUGACGG
rnacentral:rRNA from 1 species